UACAGAGGUCUCAAGCGUUGUUCGGAUUCAUUGGGCGUAAAGGGUGCGUAGGCGGCGCGGUAAGUCGGGUGUGAAAUCUCGGGGCUUAACUCCGAAACUGCAUUCGAUACUGCCGUGCUUGAGGACUGGAGAGGAGACUGGAAUUUACGGUGUAGCGGUGAAAUGCGUAGAGAUCGGGAGGAACACCCGUGGCGAAGGCGGCCAUCUGGACCAGCACUGACGCUGAGGCACGAAAGCGUGGGGAGCAAACAGGG
rnacentral:rRNA from 1 species